rnacentral:snRNA from 1 species
GUGCUCUCUUUGGCAGCAUAUAUACUAAAAUUGAAAUGAUACAGAGGAGAUUAGCAAUGCCCCCUGCACAAGGAAAGAUAAAUGCAGAAAGGCCCUUUCUGUUG